CGAACGCCGUUUGUUUCCAGUUCGUGGAAAUAGGUCAGGCGGGACUUCCAUGGGGGACCGGGUCAUGCUGGAGGGCUAUGCCGAAAAUAGUUCCAGGCGGUCGACGCCUAAGUCCCGCUGACUGGCCGUUCGGGAUUUUAAGAUGGCCGCCAUCCAUUGUUCUUCGCCACAUGUUCGGCUCCCGAAAUGGCGCCCACCCGGGAACUCUCAAUUAACUUGCGGUUACACAUGAUUUUAUGUUCUAAUUGCUACCCAGGGUGGUCCU
rnacentral:lncRNA from 1 species